rnacentral:rRNA from 1 species
UGGGCUUGAACUGUAUUGGUUGUAGGUAUCAGAGAUGAUACUAAACCUUCGGGUACUGAUAUAG